GAAAUGCGAUAAGUAAUGCGAAUUGCAGAAUUUCCGUGAGUCAUCGAAUCUUUGAACGCACAUUGCACCCAUUGGUAUUCCGAUGGGCAUGCCUGUCCGAGCGUCAUUACGCACCCUCAAGCCCGGCUUGUGUGAUGGGCCCUGGCGUCUCGUUCGCGAGACGGGCCCGAAAGGCAGCGGCGGCGUCGACCCGAUGAGCCCGAGCGUAUGGGGACUUUUGUCACACGUUUGCGGUGCGGACCGGCGCCUGCUUGACUUUUCUGAUUAUCCAGGUUGACCUCGGAUCAGGUAGGGAUACCCGCUGAACUUAAGC
rnacentral:misc_RNA from 1 species